rnacentral:rRNA from 1 species
GAUGAACGCUGGCGGCGUGCCUAAUACAUGCAAGUCGAGCGAAAAGAUGAGGAUCUUGCUCCUUUCACGUUAGCGGCGGACGGGUGAGUAACACGUGUAUCACCUACUUAUAUGACUGGGAUCAUUUCGGGAAACCGGAGCUAAUCCCGGAUAAUCUAUUGAACCGCAUUGUUCAUUAGUGAAAGACGGCUUUGCUGUCACUUAUAGAUGGAUCCGCGCCGCAUUAGCUAGUUGGUAAGGUAACGGUCUACCAAGGCAACGAGGCGUAGCCGACCGGAGAGGGUGGUCGGCCACCCGGGAGCUGAGACGCGGUCCAGACGACUACGAGAGGCAGCAGAAGGGAAUCUUACGCAGUAGGGGAAAGCAUGACGGAACAAGGGCGAGUGAGUGAUGGAGGUCUUAGGAUCGGAAAACUCUGUUAUUAGUGAAAAACAAAUGUGUAAGUAACUAUGCACGUCUUGACGGUACCUAAUCAAAAAGCCACGGCUAACUACGUG